GAUGAACGCUGGCGGCGUGCCUAAUACAUGCAAGUCGAGCGAACAGAUGAGGAGCUUGCUCCUCUGACGUUAGCGGCGGACGGGUGAGUAACACGUGGAUAACCUACCUAUAAGACUGGGAUAACUUCGGGAAACCGGAGCUAAUACCGGAUAAUAUAUUGAACCGCAUGGUUCAAUAGUGAAAGACGGUUUUGCUGUCACUUAUAGAUGGAUACGCCGCAUUAGCUAGUUGGUAAGGUAACGGCUUACCAAGGCAACGAUGCGUAGCCGACCUGAGAGGGUGAUCGGCCACACUGGAACUGAGACACGGUCCAGACUCCUACGGGAGGCAGCAGUAGGGAAUCUUCCGCAAUGGGCGAAAGCCUGACGGAGCAACGCCGCGUGAGUGAUGAAGGUCUUCGGAUCGUAAAACUCUGUUAUUAGGGAAGAACAAAUGUGUAAGUAACUAUGCACGUCUUGACGGUACCUAAUCAGAAAGCCACGGCUAACUACGUG
rnacentral:rRNA from 1 species